rnacentral:rRNA from 1 species
GACGAACGCUGGCGGCGUGCUUAACACAUGCAAGUCGAACGGAAAGGCCUGCUUUCCCUUGUGGAUUGCGGGUACUCGAGUGGCGAACGGGUGAGUAACACGUGAGUGAUCUGCCCCCAACUUGGGUAUAAGCCUGGGAAACUGGGUCUAAUUCCCGAUAGGACUGCAGGGUGGUGCCUGUGGUGGAAAACGAUUUUCUAGUGGUUGGGGAUGAGCUCGCGGCCUAUCAGCUUGUUGGUGGGGUAAUGGCCUACCAAGGCGGCGACGGGUAGCCGGCCUGGGAGGGUGGACGGGCAAAUUGGGACUGAGAUACGGCCCAGACUCCUACGGGAGGCAGCAGUGGGGAAUAAUGCAAAAUGGGCGGAAGCCUGAUGCAGCGACGCCGCGUGGGGGAUGACGGCCUUCGGGUUGUAAACUCCUUUCGACCGCGAGGAAGCCACCUGGUUGGAAGGGUGGUGACGGUAGUGGUAGAAGAAGCACCGGCUAACUACGUG